GACGAACGCUGGCGGCGUUCUUAACACAUGCAAGUCGAACGAAGUGGCUAACGGGUGAGUAAUACGUGGGUAACCUGCCCUCCUUAUUUGGAUAAGCCUUGGAAACGGGGUCUAAUACCUAAUACAGGGGGAUGGGCUCUCGGCCUAUCGUCUUGUUGGUGGGGUGAUGGCCUACCAAGGCGGUGACGGGUAGCCGGCCUGCUAGGGUGAACGGCCAGAUUGUGACUGAGAUACGGACAAGACUCCUACGGGAGGCAGCAGUGGGGGAUAUUGCACAAUGGGCGAAAGCCUGACGCAGCGAAGCCGAGAGGGGGAUGAAGGCUUUCGGGUUGGAAACCUCUUUAGCUAUAGAACGGGUAGGUAGAGAAGAAGCGCCGGCUAACUACGUGCCAGCAGCCGCGGUAAUUC
rnacentral:rRNA from 1 species